AGAGUUUGAUCAUGGCUCAGGAUGAACGCUGGCGGUCUGCUUAACACAUGCAAGUCGAACGGAAUCUUUCGGGAUUUAGUGGCGGACGGGUGAGUAACGCGUGAGAAUCUGCCUUCAGGUUCGGGACAACAGUUGGAAACGGCUGCUAAUACCGGAUGUGCCGAGAGGUGAAAGCUUAAGUGCCUGGAGAUGAGCUCGCGUCUGAUUAGCUAGUAGGAGUGGUAACGGCACCCCUAGGCGACGAUCAGUAGCUGGUCUGAGAGGAUGAUCAGCCACACUGGGACUGAGACACGGCCCAGACUCCUACGGGAGGCAGCAGUGGGGAAUUUUCCGCAAUGGGCGCAAGCCUGACGGAGCAAGACCGCGUGAGGGAAGAAGGUCUGUGGAUUGUAAACCUCUUUUGAUCGGGAAGAAGACAGUGACGGUACCGAUCGAAUCAGCUCGAU
rnacentral:rRNA from 1 species